rnacentral:rRNA from 1 species
UACGUAGGGGGGCAAGCGUUGUCCGGAAUCAUUGGGCGUAAAGCGCACGUAGGCGGCUUGGCAAGUCGGAUGUGAAAUCCCUCGGCUCAACCAAGGAAGUGCAUCCGAAACUGCUGAGCUUGAGUACUUAAGAGGAUCGCGGAAUUCCCGGUGUAGAGGUGAAAUUCGUAGAUAUCGGGAGGAACACCAGUGGCGAAAGGCGGCGAUCUGGGGAAGAUACUGACGCUGAGGUGCGAAAGCGUGGGGAGCAAACAGG